AUUGAACGCUGGCGGCAGGCUUAACACAUGCAAGUCGAGCGAGCGGCGGACGGGUGAGUAAUGUCUGGGAAACUGCCUGAGGGAGGGGGAUAACUACUGGAAACGGUAGCUAAUACCGCAUACCAUCAGAUGUGCCCCGAUGGGAUUAGCUAGUAGGUGGGGUAAUGGCUCACCUAGGCGACGAUCCCUAGCUGGUCUGAGAGGAAGAUCAGCCACACUGGAACUGAGACACGGCCCGAACUCCUACGGGAGGCAGCGGUGGGGAAUAUUGCACAAUGGGCGCAAGCCUGAUGCAGCCAUGCCGCGUGUAUGAAGAAGGCCUUAGGGUUGUAAAGUACUUUCAGCGGGGAGGCGUUACCCGCAGAAGAAGCACCGGCUAACUCCGUGCCAGCCGCCGCGGUAAUAC
rnacentral:rRNA from 1 species